CAAUAGCGUAUAUUAAAGCUGUUGCGGUUAAAAAGCUCGUAGUUGGAUUUCUGUCAAGGACAACUGGUCCGCCCUCCGGGUGAGCACAUAGUUUGGUCUUGACAUCUUGCUGGAAGCUGUUGCUGCACUUGGCUGUGUGGCGCAGUGUUCAGCACUUUCACUUUGAGGAAAUUGGAGUGUUUCAAGCAGGCACAUGCCUUUGGACACAGUAGCAUGGAAUAAUUAGAUUGGGCUUUUGCUCCAAUUUGUCGGUUUCUGGAGCUGAGGUGAGUAUUAAUGGGGAUUGUUGGGGGCAUCCGAAUUUAGCCGUCAGAGGUGAAAUUCUUGGAUCUGCUAAAGACGGACAACUGCGAAAGCGUUUGCCCAGGAUGUUUUCAUUGG
rnacentral:rRNA from 1 species